UGUUAAAAUUUUCAUUCAUUUCUACUGUUAAAAAUUGGCUUGACUAACGGAAUAACCAGACACUUACACUUACACUUAAUGAUAGAAAUAGAUAUAAUUUUUAACA
rfam:Gossypium raimondii Chr12_contig_794, whole genome shotgun sequence.